rnacentral:misc_RNA from 1 species
GAUGAAGAACGCAGCGAAAUGCGAUAAGUAAUGUGAAUUGCAGAAUUCAGUGAAUCAUCGAAUCUUUGAACGCACAUUGCGCCCGCCAGUAUUCUGGCGGGCAUGCCUGUCCGAGCGUCAUUUCAACCCUCGAACCCCUCCGGGGGGUCGGCGUUGGGGACCUCGGGAGCCCCUAAGACGGGAUCCCGGCCCCGAAAUACAGUGGCGGUCUCGCCGCAGCCUCUCCUGCGCAGUAGUUUGCACAACUCGCACCGGGAGCGCGGCGCGUCCACGUCCGUAAAACACCCAACUUCUGAAAUGUUGACCUCGGAUCAGGUAGGAAUACCCGCUGAACUUAAGCAUACAAUAAGCGGAGGA